AAUAGAUACCCUGGUAGUCCACGCCGUAAACGAUGAGAACUAGCCGUUGGAUCCCUUGAGGGUUCAGUGGCGAAGCUAACGCGAUAAGUUCUCCGCCUGGGGAGUACGGCCGCAAGGUUAAAACUCAAAUGAAUUGACGGGGGCCCGCACAAGCGGUGGAGCAUGUUGUUUAAUUCGAUGCAACGCGAAGAACCUUACCACCCCUUGACAUCCUCGGAACUUGGCAGAGAUGCCUUGGUGCCUUCGGGAACCGAGUGACAGGUGCUGCAUGGCUGUCGUCAGCUCGUGUCGUGAGAUGUUGGGUUAAGUCCCGUAACGAGCGCAACCCUUGUCCUUAAUUGCCAGCGGGUAAUGCCGGGAACUCUAAGGAGACUGCCGGUGACAAACCGGAGGAAGGUGGGGAUGAGGUCAAGUCAUCAUGGCCCUCACGGGGUGGGCUACAAACGUGCUACAAUGGCGUGCACAAAGGGCUGCAAUCCCGGCGAGGGGGAGCAAAUCCCAAAAAACGCGUCGUAGUCCGGAUUGGAGUCUGCAACUCGACUCC
rnacentral:rRNA from 1 species